CCUACGGGCGGCAGCAGUGGGGAAUAUUGCACAAUGGGGGAAACCCUGAUGCAGCGACGCCGCGUGAAGGAUGAAGUAUUUCGGUAUGUAAACUUCUAUCAGCAGGGAAGAAAGUGACGGUACCUGACUAAGAAGCCCCGGCUAACUACGUGCCAGCAGCCGCGGUAAUACGUAGGGGGCAAGCGUUAUCCGGAUUUACUGGGUGUAAAGGGAGCGUAGACGGGAUAGCAAGUCUGAAGUGAAAGCCCGGGGCUCAACCCCGGGACUGCUUUGGAAACUGUUGACCUGGAGUGCUGGAGAGGCAAGUGGAAUUCCUAGUGUAGCGGUGAAAUGCGUAGAUAUUAGGAGGAACACCAGUGGCGAAGGCGGCUUGCUGGACAGUGACUGACGUUGAGGCUCGAAAGCGUGGGGAGCAAACAGGAUUAGAUACCCUUGUAGUC
rnacentral:rRNA from 1 species